GUCUGUGUGGAUGAUGGUGGAGCAUCAGACUCUUAAUCUGAGGGUUCAGGGUUCAAGUCCCUGUUCAGGUG
rnacentral:tRNA from 1 species